rnacentral:rRNA from 1 species
GACGGAGGAUGCAAGCGUUAUCCGGAAUGAUUGGGCGUAAGGCGUCCGCAGGUGGCAGUUCAAGUCUGCUGUCAAAGACCGGGGCUUAACUUCGGAAAGGCAGUGGAAACUGAACAGCUAGAGUAUGGUAGGGGCAGAGGGAAUUCCUGGUGUAGCGGUGAAAUGCGUAGAGAUCAGGAAGAACAUCGGUGGCGAAGGCGGCAUUCUGGACCAAUACUGACGCUGAGGAGCGAAAGCCAGGGGAGCAAACGGG